CGGGCACGGCCGGGCAGCCCUAGGCAGUCUGCCCCGGCUGGGCUCCACCGCCGCGCCCGCUCGGCUCGUCCGCGGGAGAGAACUGUGAUAUUCCGUCCCCGAGAACCACUGCUACCGUCCACUCGGCGCCUGUCUUCGUACUCCGCUUUGGCAUGUGCAACGUAGAAACGAAAAAUAAACAAAGUUUUUCCGUGUACUGUUCCUUGGAUUGGAUUGGAAAGCGGAAAAAAACCUGUGUACUAUAUAUAACCACGAGAAUCUAACGCAUGUGUUGUUUAAAUUGACGUUAUCUUGUUGAGAGUUACUAUGUAACCUAUUUUUAGUGUUUGUUUAUAUUUUAUGCCUUAACAUAUAGAUUAUUUAUACGCUGUAUCCGUCCAUUUUCGUAUUGCAGCUUUGGGGGUCAAAAUAUCGGGUUAACUUUAUCCACCAGGAACCAAUAUUAAUUACUUGAUACAUUCUAUUAUAUUAAUAAACUGUGCUUCGAUCACGAG